rnacentral:rRNA from 1 species
UACAGAGGUCCCAAGCGUUGUUCGGAUUCACUGGGCGUAAAGGGUGCGUAGGUGGUGAGGUAAGUCGGAUGUGAAAGCUCGGAGCUCAACUCCGAAAUGGCAUUGGAAACUACCUUGCUCGAGGGUUGGAGGGGGGACUGGAAUGCUUGGUGUAGCAGUGAAAUGCGUAGAUAUCAAGCGGAACACCAGUGGCGAAGGCGAGUCCCUGGACAACACCUGACACUGAGGCACGAAAGCCGGGGGAGCGAACAGG